rnacentral:misc_RNA from 1 species
AUGGGAUGGUUGAGGCCGGGGCCACGCCCCCUCUGCCCCCCUGCGAGGGCAUCCUGGGCUUUCUCCCACCGCUUUCCGAGCCCGCUUGCACCUCGGCGAUCCCCGACUCCCUUCUUUAUGGCGUCGCUCCUGUGCUGUGGGCCGAAGCUGGCCGCCUGCGGCAUCGUCCUCAGCGCCUGGGGAGUGAUCAUGUUGUAAUCCACCCACCGCCACUUCAAGAAGAAAUGAUAUGAAGAAGUGCCGGUUCUCCCUCCCCUCUUCCGCACUGUCCCGUGAUGAUGACGCCUCCAGAGAGGACGAUAAUCUGGGUUCCUGGGAGAGAUGGCUUGGUCACUAUUCCCACCCUUGCCUCGACCACUUGUCUCAAUGUCACCACCUCACGCCCUGUUCCAGAUAAUGCUCGGAAUAUUUUUCAAUGUCCAUUCCGCUGUGUUGAUUGAGGACGUUCCCUUCACGGAGAAAGAUUUUGAGAAUGGCCCCCAGAACAUAUACAACCUUUACGAGCAAGUCAGCUACAACUGUUUCAUCGCUGCAGGCCUUUACCUCCUCCUCGGAGGCUUCUCUUUCUGCCAAGUUCGGCUCAAUAAGCGCAAGGAAUACAUGGUGCGCUAGGGCCCCGGCGCGUUUCCCCGCUCCAGCCCCUCCUCUAUUUAAAGACUCCCUGCACCGUGUCACCCAGGUCGCGUCCCACCCUUGCCGGCGCCCUCUGCGGGACUGGGUUUCCCGGGCGAGAGACUGAAUCCCUUCUCCCAUCUCUGGCAUCCGGCCCCCGUGGAGAGGGCUGAGGCUGGGGGGCUGUUCCGUUUCUCCACCCUUCGCUGUGUCCCGUAUCUCAAUAAAGAGAAUCUGCUCUCUUCAG